AACGCACAUUGCGCCCGCCAGCAUUCUGGCGGGCAUGCCUGUCCGAGCGUCAUUUCAACCCUCAGGCCCCCCUUUCCGGGUGCCUGGCGUUGGGGAUCGGCCCUGCAGCCCAGGGCCGGCCCCGAAAUACAGUGGCGGUCACGCCGCGGCUUCCUCUGCGUAGUAGUAACAUCCUCGCAUAGGGACGCGGCGCGGCCACGCCGUAAAGCGGGCGCGAGCCCAGCACACUUCUCAAGGUUGACCUCGGAUCAGGUAGGAAUACCCGCUGAACUUAA
rnacentral:misc_RNA from 1 species